CAGAAUCCCGUGAAUCAUCGAAACUUCGAACGCAUCUUGCGCUCCCGGGAUAUGCCUGGGAGCAUGCUUGUCGGGGAGGAGGAGG
rnacentral:rRNA from 1 species